rnacentral:rRNA from 1 species
GACGAACGCUGGCGGCGGGCUUAACACAUGCAAGUCGAGCGGUAAGGCCCUUCGGGGUACACGAGCGGCGAACGGGUGAGUAACACGUGAGUAAUCUGCUCAUCACUUCGGGAUAACUCCGGGAAACCGGUGCUAAUACCGCAGAUGACCACUUCAGGCAUCUGAUGGGGGUGGAAAGUUCCGGCGGUGAUGGAUGAGCUCGCGGCCGAUCAGCUUGUUGGUGGGGUAGUGGUCUACCAAGGCCUCGACGGGUAGCCGGCCUGAGAGGGUGAACGGGCACACUGGGCCUACGAGACGGCGCAGACUGCUACGUGGGGCAACAGUGGGGAAUCUUAGCCAGUGAGCGCGCGUGUGAGCAAGCGGCGCCGCGUGUGGGAAGACGGCCUUCUGGUUGUAAACCUCAUUAAGCAAGGACCAAGCGGUAGUGACGGUACCUGCAGAAGAAGCACCGGCCAACUACGUG